rnacentral:rRNA from 1 species
GACGAACGCUGGCGGCGUGCUUAACACAUGCAAGUCGAACGAUGAACCACUUCGGUGGGGAUUAGUGGCGAACGGGUGAGUAACACGUGGGCAAUCUGCCCUUCACUCUGGGACAAGCCCUGGAAACGGGGUCUAAUACCGGAUAUGACCAUCUUGGGCAUCCUUGAUGGUGUAAAGCUCCGGCGGUGAAGGAUGAGCCCGCGGCCUAUCAGCUUGUUGGUUGAGGUAAUGGCUCACCAAGGCGACGACGGGUAGCCGGCCUGAGAGGGCGACCGGCCACACUGGGACUGAGACACGGCCCAGACUCCUACGGGAGGCAGCAGUGGGGAAUAUUGCACAAUGGGCGAAAGCCUGAUGCAGCGACGCCGCGUGAGGGAUGACGGCCUUGGUGUAACU